UACGAAGGGGGCUAGCGUUGCUCGGAAUCACUGGGCGUAAAGCGCACGUAGGCGGAUUGCUAAGUCAGGGGUGAAAUCCUGGAGCUCAACUCCAGAACUGCCUUUGAUACUGGAAAGCUUGAGUUCGGGAGAGGUGAGUGGAACUGCGAGUGUAGAGGUGAAAUUCGUAGAUAUUCGCAAGAACACCAGUGGCGAAGGCGGCUCACUGGCCCGAUACUGACGCUGAGGCGCGAAAGCGUGGGGAGCAAACAGG
rnacentral:rRNA from 1 species